CGCUUCAUAUAGUCCUAUACUUGUAUGAAAUAUAUACCGUUUUGUUGGAGUUCGUGUUGCUCGGUCUUAAGUUCUUUAUGUUACGUUUUGUGUACUAUUGUAUUGUAUUUGUCUAUUAUAUUCGGGUGCGUGCGGAGAUCGCCAAGCUAGAAAACGGUUGACAUUUUCUUCAUUAUGAACUAGAACUAUUUUCGACCUCGGUGCCUUAUUUUUUGUUAAAAUCUAAACACUGCGACGUGUUUUCAAAAUCUUUGUUCUCAUAAAACUUUAUUUCAUCAAGGUCUCUUCUCAGAAUAUCAGCCAUCUGUCUGGCACAGGAUAACAAAUCAAUAUUUAAGUAAAUUUAAGUUGUGUGGCAAUUCUUAGUACAUUUGGGUAAAUUAAUCUUAUCUUUGUGCCGCAUAAGCAUCUCUAUAAUUCAACACAUCCCUGAGCCACGACAUUAUAUAUUUUAUGCAUCGCAUGCGCUUCUUUUUAUCACAAUCCAGACCGGCUAGUAACCGUUGUAUAACUUUACACGUCUGAAGACGAAUAUUUGCGUGAAACAUUUUUGUAUGAUUUUAUUUCUGGAAAUCAAUCUGAAAUCUACAACAGUCCAUUUCCGAAAGUCGGG
rnacentral:lncRNA from 1 species